rnacentral:lncRNA from 1 species
CUCCAUUGGUCUUUUUGUGUUUUUCUACCCACCUUUACCUCCGUGACGGUGAGAUAUCGUGAUGUUCUUACUGGGCUAGUGUAGCUCACUCCUUAAUUAACCAUUUCAUAUCAGGAAGACAUGGUUCCCGAGCCCGUUCCGCAGGAGGACGACGAAGGGGAUGCCUAGAGACUCUGUAGUCAUACGCAUAGUUUAUUUUCGAGUUUUCUUUCUUAGUUAGUUUAACCUUUUAUAUUUUAAGUACGUUUUUUGGUUUUUCGUGUAAGGGAUGUUAACUGAAAUUUUGAUCUCGCUUCCGCAUUCGAUAUAUUUAAAUACUCAUUUCUUUUUAAUAUUUCCGGGGUCGUUACAGUUGGUAUCAGAGCCGCAUUUCCUCGGACCCAUCCCUUACACUAUAGUCCUUUAAAGAAAUACUCACCGAUUGGUCGUUACUCAACCAU